UCACCGUAUGGGGAUGGAGUCCCCCGAUAACCGCCCUAACCGGCUGAUGACUCCUACAAGCGC
rnacentral:ncRNA from 2 species